rnacentral:rRNA from 1 species
AACCUUACCUGGGCUCGAAGCGCACUUGACUAGCUAUAGAAAUAUGGCCUUCCCGCAAGGACAAGUGUGGAGGUGGAAUCAGCGAUUAGGGUG